rnacentral:rRNA from 1 species
UACGAAGGGAGCUAGCGUUGUUCGGAAUCACUGGGCGUAAAGCGCACGUAGGCGGAUGUGUCAGUCAGGGGUGAAAUCCCGGAGCUCAACUUCGGAACUGCCCUUGAUACAGCACGUCUUGAGUCCGGAAGAGGUGGGUGGAAUUCCUAGUGUAGAGGUGAAAUUCGUAGAUAUUAGGAAGAACACCGGUGGCGAAGGCGCCCACUGGUCCGGUACUGACGCUGAGGUGCGAAAGCGUGGGGAGCAAACAGG